UCUAAUUGUAAUUUUUUAUUCAAAAGAGUAUUAGUUAAGUUCUUGAAAUUUAAAGAUUUUGGCGGUAUUUUAGUCUUUUCAGAGGAACCUGUUCUUUAAUUGAUAAUCCACGAUUUAAUUAAUUUAUUUUAUUAAUUUGUAUAUCGUUGUUAAAUGAAUAUUUUACAAGAAUUUAAUGUUCAAGAAUUUUUAUAAAAACAUAAAUCAGAUCAAGGUGCAGUUUAUAAAUAAAUAGAAAUGGGUUACAAUAAAAAUAUUUUUGGAUAAAAUAAUUUAUAAGUUUUUGAAAUUGGAUUUGAAAGUAAUUAUAUUUAUAUAUUUGUAAUGAUUAAGCUCUAAAAUAUGC
rnacentral:rRNA from 1 species